rnacentral:rRNA from 1 species
GACGAACGUUGGCGGCGUGCUUAACACAUGCAAGUCGAACGGAAAGGCCCUGCUUUUGUGGGGUGCUCGAGUGGCGAACGGGUGAGUAACACGUGAGUAACCUGCCCUUGACUUUGGGAUAACUUCAGGAAACUGGGGCUAAUACCGGAUAGGAGCUCCUGCUGCAUGGUGGGGGUUGGAAAGUUUCGGCGGUUGGGGAUGGACUCGCGGCUUAUCAGCUUGUUGGUGGGGUAGUGGCUUACCAAGGCUUUGACGGGUAGCCGGCCUGAGAGGGUGACCGGCCACAUUGGGACUGAGAUACGGCCCAGACUCCUACGGGAGGCAGCAGUGGGGAAUAUUGCACAAUGGGCGGAAGCCUGAUGCAGCAACGCCGCGUGCGGGAUGACGGCCUUCGGGUUGUAAACCGCUUUCGCCUGUGACGAAGCGUGAGUGACGGUAAUGGGUAAAGAAGCACCGGCUAACUACGUGCCAGCAGCCGCGGUGAUACGUAGGGUGCGAGCGUUGUCCGGAUUUAUUGGGCGUAAAGGGCUCGUAGGUGGUUGAUCGCGUCGGAAGUGUAAUCUUGGGGCUUAACCCUGAGCGUGCUUUCGAUACGGGUUGACUUGAGGAAGGUAGGGGAGAAUGGAAUUCCUGGUGGAGCGGUGGAAUGCGCAGAUAUCAGGAGGAACACCAGUGGCGAAGGCGGUUCUCUGGGCCUUUCCUGACGCUGAGGAGCGAAAGCGUGGGGAGCGAACAGGCUUAGAUACCCUGGUAGUCCACGCUGUAAACGGUGGGUACUAGGUGUGGGGUCCAUUCCACGGGUUCCGUGCCGUGGCUAACGCUUUAAGUACCCCGCCUGGGGAGUACGGCCGCAAGGCUAAAACUCAAAGGAAUUGACGGGGCCCCGCACAAGCGGCGGAGCAUGCGGAUUAAUUCGAUGCAACGCGUAGAACCUUACCUGGGUUUGACAUGGAUCGGGAGUGCUCAGAGAUGGGUGUGCCUCUUUUGGGGUCGGUUCACAGGUGGUGCAUGCCUGUCGUCAGCUCGUGUCGUGAGAUGUUGGGUUAAGUCCCGCAACGAGCGCAACCCUUGUUCACUGUUGCCAGCACGUUAUGGUGGGGACUCAGUGGAGACCGCCGGGGUCAACUCGGAGGAAGGUGGGGAUGACGUCAAGUCCUCAUGCCCCUUAUGUCCAGGGCUUCACGCAUGCUACAAUGGCUGGUACAGAGAGUGGCGAGCCUGUGAGGGUGAGCGAAUCUCGGAAAGCCGGUCUCAGUUCGGAUUGGGGUCUGCAACUCGACCUCAUGAAGUCGGAGUCGCUAGUAAUCGCAGAUCAGCAACGCUGCGGUGAAUACGUUCCCGGGGCU